rnacentral:rRNA from 1 species
UACUAUUAGGAUUUUUGUUUUAAGUACUUGAGUAUUAGGAUAGUUAUUUCUGAAACUUAAAGAAUUUGGCGGUAGUCUGACCUUUUAGAGGAAUCUGUUCCUUAAUCGAUAUUACACGAUUGUUUGUACUUGAUUUUAGUUUAUAUACCGUCGUCAUCAGAUUAUAUUUAAUAGUAGUUUUCGUUCUUCUUUAUUAGGGUUUAUGUCAGAUCAAGGUGUAGCUUAUAAUCAAGUGGAAAUGGAUUACAAUGGAGGUAUCUAUACGGAUUUUAAUAUGAAAAUUUAAUUGAAGGUGGAUUUAAUAGUAAAGUGAUAUGGACUUGACUUGGGAAUUGAUUAUGUACACAUCGCCCGUCACUCUCAUUAUUUAAUAUGAG